GACGAACGCUGGCGGCGUGCUUAACACAUGCAAGUCGAACGGUAAAGCGCCUUCCUUGUUGGUUGGUGUGGAUGCGUGGCGAACGGGUAAAUAACACGUAAGUAACCUGCCCCCUGCUUCUGGAUAACCGCAUGAAAGUGUGGCUAAUACGGGAUAUUCUGGUUCUUUCGCAUGGUGGGUCUGGGACAGAUAUUGUUUCGGUGGGGGAUGGGCUCGCGGCCUAUCAGCUUGUUGGUGGUGUGAUGGCCUACCAAGGCGAUGACGGGUCGCCGGCCUGAGAGGGUGGACGGUCACACUGGGAGUGCGACCCGGAUGAGACUGCUACGGGAGGCAGCAGUGUGGAAUAUGGCACAAUGGGGGAAAUCCGGAUGCAGCGACGCGGCGGGAGGGAUGGAGGCCUGCGCGUUGUGAACCGCUUUCGGUAGUGAAGCAGGUUCGCCUCUUUUGUGGGGGGGUUGACGGUAGCUGGAUAAGAAGCGCCGGCUAACUACGUG
rnacentral:rRNA from 1 species